rnacentral:rRNA from 1 species
ACGAACGCUGGCGGCGCGCUUAAUACAUGCAAGUCGAACGAGAAGCCAGAGCUUGCUCUGGUGGAAAGUGGCGAACGGGUGAGUAACACGUGAGAAACCUGCCCAAAGAUUGGGAUAAGCCUUGGAAACGAGGUCUAAUACCAAAUACCUUCCUUUUAACACAUGUUAAAAAGAAGAAAUGCUCCGGCGCUUUGGGAUGGUCUCGCGAUCUAUCAGCUUGUUGGUGAGGUAACGGCUCACCAAGGCAUCGACGGAUAGCUGGUCUGAGAGGAUGUCCAGCCACAUUGGAACUGAGGCACGGUCCAAACUCCUACGGGAGGCAGCAGUAGGGAAUCUUGCACAAUGAGGGAAACCUUGAUGCAGCGACGCCGCGUGCGGGACGAAGGCCCUAGGGUUGUAAACCGCUUUCAGUAGGGACGAAAGUGACGGUACCUACAGAAGAAGCCCCGGCCAACUAUGUGCCAGCAGCCGCGGUAAU